rnacentral:rRNA from 1 species
GGGACUGAGACACGGCCCAGACUCCUACGGGAGGCAGCACUGGGGAAUUUUUCGCAAUGGGGGCAACCCUGACAAAGCAAUGCCGCGUGGAUGAAGAAGGCCUUCGGGUUGUAAAGUCCUUUCGUGGGGGACGAAAAGGCGGGUCCUAAUACGAUCUGCUGUUGACGUGAACCCAAGAAAAAACACCGGAUAACUCCGUGCCAACUAGCCGCCGUAAUACGAGGGGUAGCAACCGUUAAUCAGAAUCACUCGGAGUAUAAGGCGCGUAAGCGAGUACAUGUAGGUAAUGUCGGGAAAUCCCCGAGCUCAACCUCGGAAUGGACGGUACAAACCGACGCACUAGAGAAUGAGAGAGAGUGCUGGAAUUCCAGGUGUAGCGGUGAAAUGUCGUAGAGAUCUCGAGGAACAUCAAUGGCGAAGGCAGCCACCUGGCUCGCAAUACAGACGCAGAAGCACGAAAGCGUGCGGGAGCUAACCAGGAUUAGAUACCCUGCUAGUUCAUGCACGAGUCGAAGAAUAAUAGAAGUUAGGUACCUAGCGUACCGACAGUAGUAGCUAAUGCGAUAAGUAUUGCGCCUGGGAAGAACGGCGGCAAUGUUAAAAAUCAUCGGAGGUGACGAGGGGCCGCGCUACCGGUGGUGCAUCUGGUGGAAUUGGAUGCAACGUGAAGAACCUUUCACGGGCGUUACAUAUCUAGAAUUCUGCAGAGAGACGGGAAAGCCCUUUUGGGAAUCUGAACACAGGUGUGGCAUGGGUGUGUUCACCUCUUGUCGUGAGAGAUCGGGUUAAGUCCCGCACCGAGAGCAACCCUUUCUCUUUAUUGCCAUACGGUUCGGCCGGGCACUUUAGGGAGAGAGGGCGGGGACAAACCGGAGGAAGGUGGGGAGGAAGGUAAGUCCUUCCUGGCCUUUAUGGCCACGGGGUACACCACGUAAUACAAUGGGGCGUACAGAGGGAAGGCAAACCGCGAGGUGGAGCAGCCCCAGAAAGCCCGUUGUAGUUUGGAAUGCCGUUUGCAAAUCGGCUGGAAGAAGGAGGAAUCGUUUGUUAUUGGCGAUCAGCAUGGCGGGGAGAAUACGUUUCCGGGCCUUUACACCC